rnacentral:rRNA from 1 species
UACAGAGGUCUCAAGCGUUGUUCGGAUUCAUUGGGCGUAAAGGGUGCGUAGGUGGUGCGCUAAGUCAGGUGUGAAAUUUCGGAGCUUAACUCCGAAACUGCAUUUGAUACUGGCGUGCUUGAGGACUGGAGAGGAGACUGGAAUUCACGGUGUAGCAGUGAAAUGCGUAGAUAUCGUGAGGAAGACCAGUGGCGAAGGCGGGUCUCUGGACAGUUCCUGACACUGAGGCACGAAGGCCAGGGGAGCAAACGGG